AGCCAUGGCAACAGGAGAUGUUGAAGGAAACCUAGAGCGACUGAAGGCGCAGCUCCGAUCUGUUUCCUACCCACACACAAUCGACAACCAAGGCCUGAGAAUGGGACUUCCAUCGGCUGUUCUUCCACUACUCCAUCACGCGCUGUUAGGUUAUUCCAGGCAUGUUUUCAGGUAUCUCUCAACGAAUGGCUAUGAAUUAUACGCGAAAAGUGACCUGAGAUUCAUAGAGUGCAU